UACGUAGGGUGCAGGCGUUAAUCGGAAUUACUGGGCGUAAAGGGCUCGUAGGCGGCCAACUAAGUCAGACGUGAAAUCCCUCGGCUUAACCGGGGAACUGCAUCUGAUACUGGAUGGCUUGAGUUCGGGAGAGGGAUGCGGAAUUCCAGGUGUAGCGGUGAAAUGCGUAGAUAUCUGGAGGAACACCGGUGGCGAAGGCGGCAUCCUGGACCGGCACUGACGCUGAGGAGCGAAAGCCAGGGGAGCAAACGGG
rnacentral:rRNA from 1 species